rfam:Sphaerobolus stellatus SS14 unplaced genomic scaffold SPHSTscaffold_2, whole genome shotgun sequence.
GCCCGUUUAGCACAGUGGUAGUGCGUUCCACUUGUAAAUUUCGAAGUUCACAUGGAAAGGUCGCUCGUUCAAUCCGGGCAGGGGGCA